GGAAGGGGUGUAUUUAUUAGAUAAAAAACCAACGCCCUUCGGGGCUUUUUGGUGAUUCAUGAUAACCUUACGGAUCGCAUGGCCUUGCGCCGGCGACGGUUCAUUCAAAUUUCUGCCCUAUCAACUUUCGAUGGUAAGGUAUUGGCUUACCAUGGUUUCAACGGGUAACGGGGAAUUAGGGUUCGAUUCCGGAGAGGGAGCCUGAGAAACGGCUACCACAUCCAAGGAAGGCAGCAGGCGCGCAAAUUACCCAAUCCCGACACGGGGAGGUAGUGACAAUAAAUACUGAUACAGGGCUCUUUUGGGUCUUGUAAUUGGAAUGAGUACAAUUUAAACCUCUUAACGAGGAACAAUUGGAGGGCAAGUCUGGUGCCAGCAGCCGCGGUAAUUCCAGCUCCAAUAGCGUAUAUUAAAGUUGUUGCAGUUAAAAAGCUCGUAGUUGAACCUUGGGUCUGGCUGGCAGGUCCGCCUCACCGCGUGUACUUGUCCGGCCGGGCCUUCCUUCUGGAGAACCUCAUGCCCUUCACUGGGCGUGUUGGGGACCAGGACUUUUAC
rnacentral:rRNA from 1 species